UCUGGUAAUGAUGGCAGAGAGGCCACACCCGUUCCCAUACCGAACACGGAAGUUAAGCUCUCUAGCGCCGA
rnacentral:rRNA from 1 species